UGCGUAGGCGGCCUGGUAAGUCAGAGGUGAAAGCUUGCAGCUCAACUGUAAAAUUGCCUUUGAUACUGUUGUGCUUGAAUCAGAACGAGGUUGGCGGAAUGUGGCAUGUAGCGGUGAAAUGCAUAGAUAUGCCAUAGAACAUCGAUUGCGAAGGCAGCUGACUAGAUCUGUAUUGACGCUGAGGCACGAAAGCGUGGGGAGCGAACAGGAUUAGAUACCCUGGUAGUCC
rnacentral:rRNA from 1 species